UUUGUUUUGUUGGUUUUUUUAAACUGUUGUUCCUGUUUUACUAUGAAUUGCUUUCUCUGUACUCAGGUAUUUGAGGUACUAGUGUUAUGUCAUGGUUAAGUCUAUAAUCUCAAACUCUGGACAAAAUUGGUUGGGAGGAAACUUCAAACACUGGUGAUGAGUUAUGCAAGUCUGUACUAAAAAGAUACUGUCUGCGGAGAAUACAGCUAAAUUGUUAAAUUCCCUUUAAUUUUCAGGGAUCUCAGCCCAGCUACACUGCUGCCUGUAUGGGAUAUAUAAGGAUCACAUAUCUGCUUUGAGUUUCCAACUCAAUUUUCUCCUCAUUACCAUGCCUUUUCUUAUAUUCAAAAGAUAGAAUGACAUUUUGUGCAGGAUUCUUGUUAUUAAUAAGAAAUAUUACCACUUGUGAUUUUGUUUUCAGUUACAUUGAGUUUCUUCAUUUGUAUGAGAUUUCCUACUGCAUAGAAUCAUGGAAUCACUAUGAUUGCAAAAGACUUGCAGGGGUAAAUGAGUCCAGCUGUUAAUCCAACACCACUGUGUCCACCAUUAACCAUAUCCCCAAGUGCCAUAUCCAUGUGCCUUUUGAACACAGAGAUGAUGAUUGUGACACAUCCCUGGGUAGCCUGUUCCAAUUCCUGACCAAGUUCCAUGACAAGAAACAGAAAACCAGAGCUCUUUUCAACUAAGUACUGACACCAGCAGCCCAUGACCCUUCCAUAACAAUAUAUAGUCUGAAAGAGCAGAUAUAUUUCUCUCUUUUUGCUCAGUACAAACACCUGAAAGAAGGUUGUGAGACCAACAUCAAAGGCUUGACUCCUAGACUGCAGAAGAAAAUCUGUGUUUCACAGAGGCUCUGCCAUCUUAGAGGAACACACGUGACAAGUGGCUGAGCUUUAAAGAAGAAUCUGGGACCACCAGAAAACAAAUGUAACACAUGAAGGGUGUUCUUUGAAAAAUGGCAUUGGGGAUUUUAUGAUAUUUAGAGCUGUCAGGGUUCUUCUAUCCUCUCAUCUCUGAGGCUGGGCAAUUGCUGCACAAACAUAAAAAUAAGGAGAAUGACCAAGAACUGAUUGACAUCCUCAGCAGAAUGCCAGCUUUUCAGCUCCAGACUUGCAGACGUUCCUCUACUCCUCAGAGCCCCUGCCCUACAGCUCUUUCACUGUCUCUUUCCUGCCUGCCUGACAUUUGGGGAGCAGAGUAGCAAAAUCCCAUUUAUUUCUGCAUGGGCAGAUUUUUUUGUGACAUAAGAAGAUUUUAGGCUAGAGGAACAAUGCAACUGUAAGAAAGGAAAGGUCUUUUUUCAGAUCUGAAAUAAAAGAAAUAAAAUUUUUCAAAGGAAGUAUUGUUUACCUGAAGGUUUUCCUCAUCAUUGGGCAUAAUACAAGGUGCUUUAUUUUCCUUUACAGCACUGCACUGUAUUUUGCCUUCUACAUCUGGCACUGAAAACACAUUCUUCUUUUCCUUCUGAUAAAAUGAUGGAGUUUACUGGGUUUCACACUAAUACAGAAAGAAAUAAAACAGCAAUACCACAUAAGUGGGGAGGUUUUUGCAGUACCAGGACAUUCAUCUGGGUCUAUGUUGCUACCAACAAAUUAUUCCCCAGUGAUUUAAGCUUGAAUUUCACCCAUUACUGUUUAGCCUAUAGGACAUAUUCCUGGAACUCAAAAGAUUUUCAGAUUUUCAGCAUCAGUUUGUAUUCCUUCCCUCAGGAAAACUCAAAACAAAAUAGUAAAUUUCACCCCAAAACAGACCAUAUGAAAGGCUGAAAUUCAACAAAUGGCUUCAAAAUAAGCAAUUAAAUAAAAUAGUCCACUCUGCCAUUUUGUCACAGUAUCUAAAAGAGAUCUGAUGCUUAAUAGAAGAGAGAUCUCCCCUAAAAAAUCAAUCUUACUAUAAAAGCAGCACCAUGUCAAUAACGGUGGUCUUGAUACAAAAAUAAAACAUUCCUAAAGUGUAUCAUUAUAUGAAAUGUCAAGGGUUUUUUUUUUGUUUUGUGUGGGUUCUGGUUUUUUUGGUUUUUGGGGUUUUUUACACAUGGCAUUUUUCUACCAAUAUUCCUCUUUUCAUCUAUAGAGUAAGGAUCUCACUUAUUCCUUCCUGGGUAAUUAAAUCAGUGUUAAUUAAACUGAGUGUGCCAGAACUCAUGAAAUUUCUACCUACCCCUGUCUAAACUGAGAAAGUUGAAAAUCUUUUUCCAGGUGCUGCCCAGUCCUUAUAGGUCUCAGUUUGGCAAAGCUCUUUCUCCAUUUCUUUGGUCAUAUUGUACCUCUAACAUAGAAUUUUCCUGCAUUGAGGCAAGGCAGAAGUGGAAAGAGCAGUUUGAACUGAAUGUACAUUUGUCUUUAUCUCCUUCUCUUAUUCCUGUAUUGUUUUGCAUCACCCAGAAGAUGUUUUGGCAUUUGGUUUGGGAUUUCAGUUGCUUGUUUGUGUUUUUCUUUAAUAAGCAACAUCAUAUGGACUAUUACUGUGCAGCAGAUGAGGUAACUUAGGACAGAAAUAAAGUGCAGUGCUCACAUAGUUAAUGCUAUUUCAGGGAUCUAUGUGUAAAAAUCAAUUUUAGUUAUUCACAACCUUUUUUCUUCUUUCCUCACUCAAUUACCUUAUUGACCACUUAUUUAUAAACUAAAAAAGACACAUAUUCUCUCUGUCUGUUCCACAGAGGAAACAAAAAAUGGUCUUAUUUAAUCCUGAUGUUGGUGGAAUUCUACCAAGGGAAAAUUUGGCUCAAAUGUUCCUGAAUAAUAUCAUUCAAUGAAAAUAGAUUUUACUUUGGCUUAGUUAUUCAUUUUACUUCAUUUUAUUCUUAAAAUAUAUGCUUGCACAUAAUCUCACAACAUGCAGAUGUCUGGUCCUGACUGUUAAAAUUCAAGCUAAUUAUUAUUUCACAUAUGCAUAAUAAUAUUUAAAAGAAAUAACAUUUAACAUAGUUGCAUAAUUCUUAUAUAGUAAAGUCCUCAUUUUGAGAAGUGAGGAUGGGGAAAGUAUAUUUUUAAGUGAGGUACUGGACAAUGAAAUAAAUAUGUAAAUUAAACAUUUUAAAAGUUAUUUUUCCCAGAAAAUAAAAGUGGGUUGGUUUCAUAGCUGCUAAACACCAUUACCUGCUAUUGAGUUCCACUGCAGAGAGUGGAUUAACAGCUGUUGUCAGAAAUUGUUGGUGUAAUGGAAUUAUUUAUGGUGUCAUCUGUUUAAUUCUUGUGGGAGAUGUUCUCACAGUCUGUCAAUGAAGUGCAUGAAUACAGCUAAAGCAUGGUUUAUUGACUAUUCCAAAUUAUUUAAUUUUAUGUAUGGUAAAACAGGCAAAUUUGAAAGUUUUUUGCCUUAUCUGGCUUCUCCAAGUUUAUCUAAUGAAUGUUAUAAUGGUUUUGAAAUGUGGCUUUCCCUUUUUCUACAUCUGAUCAGACUUCCUUGGUAUCACUGUGGGGUUUGCACAGAAGUUCACAUUUAACAAAUACAACAGAACACUUUUAUUACAAAGAGCACUACCUUGUAAAGAUUGAUGGAGAUUAAUUCUAGUCCACUCAUUCUCAU